GAUGAAGAACGCAGCGAAAUGCGAUACUUGGUGUGAAUUGCAGAAUCCCGUGAACCAUCGAGUCUUUGAACGCAAGUUGCGCCUCAAGCCAUUAGGUUGAGGGCACGUCUGCCUGGGCGUCACAUAUCGUUGCCUGAUGCCAGUUUCCUCGUGAUGGGUGACUGUGCAGGGCGAAUGAUGGCUUCCCGUGAGCAUUGUUGCCUCAUGGUUGGUUGAAAAUUGAGUCCUUGGUAGGGAGCGCCGUGAUAGAUGGUGGUUGAGUCACGAACGAGACCCAAUCAUGUGAGACCCCUACCGAAUUUGGCCUUCAUGACCCACAUGCGUCUUUGGAACGCUCAUGACGAGACCUCAGGUCAGGCGGGGCUACCCGCUGAGUUUAAGCAUAUCAAUAAGCGGAGGA
rnacentral:misc_RNA from 1 species